UACAGAGGGUGCGAGCGUUGUUCGGAAUUAUUGGGCGUAAAGGGCGCGUAGGCGGUGCGGUAAGUCACCUGUGAAAUCUCCUGGCUCAACUGGGAGCUUGCAGGCGAAACUGCCGUGCUGGAGUGUGGGAGAGGUGCGUGGAAUUCCCGGUGUAGCGGUGAAAUGCGUAGAUAUCUGGAGGAACAUCAGUGGCGAAGGCGACACCCUGGACUCAUACUGACACUGAGGUGCGAAAGCGUGGGGAGCAAACAGG
rnacentral:rRNA from 1 species